CCCGUUAUAUACUCAACUUGAAAUAGGAUAUUCUCGUAGACGACAAGAGCACGAAGUGAAAGAGAACUCUGUCGGCUUAUCUGUCUGGUUGUCUUCUUUUCGGCGGUUAGCUUGUUCUGCUCAAUCAAAUAGUGCAUUUCUUCUUAAGAACAUAGACCUGCUCGCUCCUAUCUGAAGAACAUAGACCCGAGAGUCCUACUGAGAUUCCCUCUUUCCCGCCGGCAGUCAGGUGUUUGCGAACAGUCAAACUAGGUACCUCUGAUCUUGCUCCACUGAUCUAACAGGCUUCCACAAAACACAUAGAAAGAAGAGAGUUGCCCUUAGAAUUAAUGCCCUAAAUAAGGGACCAUCGAGAUAAGAAUAAGAGGCCUAAGGCUAAAGAAUCAGCAGUGAAUGAAUCAAUUCCAGUAUAAGCUUGGCGCUCUUCAUUCUAUACAACGUUGCUCAUCCCGGCGCUUGGCCAUUAGUAUAUGCUUGGCGUUUCAUCCGUGUUUGGAAGUUCAUCUCUUUGCGAAUGCGAAUCUAAACUCCCUGGUGCCUAAGGAGAAGUCAAAGCGUAAGCACCACUCACGGCUACUGGUUGAAUUCAAAAGAAAAGGGAAGCUGUAUCCUUAGCAGACUUUCUCACGGCUUCUUAAACAAGAACGGAAUGACUUGAAGCAUCUGAUCUUUCUCCCCAAAACGGGACUUGCGCCGAGGAAACUAUCUUAUGAAAUUCAUACGUUAAGGACGGACUGUUUUUUGAAUGCAAGUAGUAGUUGUUACUCGUAUAUGGAUCUGGUGCUACAAAUAAGGAAUUGACUGAUCCUUAUCUUUAUUCUGUUGCAGAUGAUCUGACUUUAGCCUAAACCGAGGAUGCAGCGUCCGUAUUAGUUGCCUUCACAAUGGCCUGGCCCGCCUACUGUUCUCAGUACGCAAAGAACCUAUAUCUCUGGUCGCCAACUGUCAACGUAACUCUUAUGGGAUUCUAUUCUUUGUCAGGAGAGAGAACAAGUAACGACUUUCGAACAAGCAUCCAAAGAGACUAUACUUCAAUGAAACUACAAGGAAAACCCUAACCAUAAGGACCAGCAUCAUAUACUCUAAGUGAAAAGCCGAGGCGACUGUGCGUAUAAGCGCGGGUUCCCUUGCAUCACUUUGAACGCAACAUUUGUAGUUGCUAGGUUCUCUCUUCCUAAUACCGAACACUUAUUGAGCGGAACUCUGACCCAAUAUAUCAUUUGAUUACUAGCAAUAGGGAUCGAAAGAAACUACAACAUCGAAAUUAGUACCGUUAUCCACUUUCUUAUUUCACCCUUGGCCACUAUAUCAUUUCUAUACUAGCAAUAGUUACCGUUAUCCACUUUAGCAAUAGUUACAGUUAUCCACUUUCAUAUUUACAGAGAUUAGGAAUAGUCGCAUAAAGAUACUUACUUAUAGCCUUGCCUUCCCAGCUAUAUGCACCAAGAUCUACUGGACUGUCUUUCUUUAUUGAGCUUAAUUCUGACCCUUUCCCUUUCUGAACCUUUAUCUUUAAGAGCAUUUAGGCACCUUUAAUAUCAGCUAGCUUAGUAGGGGUUGCAUACUUCCCCUUUCAUUAUUGGAUUUAUUUCCGAACAAGUUCCUGGAUACCAAGCCCAAGGGUAAUCUUAUUGAUGAUAUCGACGAUGGUCUUGAUAUGCCUCAAAUCUUUGUUGUGAAAUAGGUGGGACAGAAAGAUUCUUCCGACUACGUCCUUCUAGAAUUCAAAUGGAGAAAGACAGGAACGGAGGACCAUGAACCAUAUGCUUGAUCGGGGGUUGAAAAACCUCUAUUCUUGGAAAAGAUUGGUUGGAAGAUCCCGCCCCAAUAGCCCAGCGGGCAGAGAACAUUCAAUCAGAAAGCGACUAACCAAAGGGGAGAAAGGCAGGACCCAGUAGGCAUGUAAGCUAGCUGCUAGCCUUUUCUAUGGGGAGUUCCCUUAUUUAGAUACGCUCUAUAUCCGUUCCUUUAUUUAGAUACAGGUAAAACUCCAUCAGUUCCUAUUCUUGUAUACGCUUUAUAUCAGUUCCUUUAUAUAGAUAGAAGAUAUAGGUCACAAGUGCUCCGAGUUCCAUUUGGCAUGAUGAGCAUGAGUUUUUCUUCUGGGAGAUGACAGCGACAGUAGCUCUCAUUCGUAGAUGCAAAGCGAACUCCACUUUUGUCCUGUGUGUGGGCGUAGUAAUUGUUUCGAUCGACUGCGACAGAGAGUGCUUCACAAGCAAGAAAGUACCUAUCCAGAGCGCUCCUAAAGAACCCGCAGUAAGCCCGGCCUGCAAGGUAAGGUAAGUCAAAAACACUUAUCAGGGACACACAGACAGGCGCAUUCCAUUCUUAGCUAGCGGAUGCAGGGAACAGAACAACUUCAUUGUUCCACCGAAAGAAAGAAAAAACGAAAAGAAGAAGAGCCAAUGCUCAUAAAGAUACUAAGAAGAGCCAAUGCUCAUAAAGAUACUAAUAGCCAAUGCUAAUAAAGCAAAGGAUCUCGCGCUUUGACUUCGUUCGAGUUGAUAGGGCCGUAUUCUCUUGUGUAUAUAACCUAAGUUAGUCUCUGCCAGAAGUUAUACUCCAUUCUAGGUAGUUCAGACAAAUACACCAUUCCACCAGGAGAGAGGAGAGCUGGCUCAUCAAUCGAACACGGGGCUGAGAAGUAGCUUAGCAGCAGCUUAGCAAAGAGGGUGAGCUGAGAGCUUUCAAUAAUCAAAUCCGAGUUUUCUCUUAAGCUUCGCUUCCUUGCUUGGGAUAGGAAGAAAUAGGGUCGACGUAGUUUAGUAUUCUCGACCACCUGGAUCCUGUUCUAUUACAUAGGCUCGACAAAAGAAAGGGAUAGGAGAAAGAAAGUAGCUCCUCGUGGGCAGCUCAUCAGAGGACUAGGGAGGCUCAUUCUAAAGAGAUAAGAAACCGUGCCUUUAGAGAUUAUACGUCGGCUAGCAAUCCUAGUAAUGAGCUCUGUAGAGAAGAGAACUCUUAUCCUCUUCCAGGAGUAGGAAUCCACUUAAGGGAGGGAACUGAACCACGAGCGGCAAAGCUAACCACCAGUUCCGAAGCUCAUCUACCUUCCUUUUAGCAACGGUGUUAGGAGUUUCACAGUAAGUGAGUUGAGAGUUGAAGUCUUAGGUGACUUUCUUCGACCACUACAAGGGCAAUAAGGCUUGAAUGCCAGAACUAGCAACUAUACUCGCAAACUAACAAGCUAUAAGGGAACCAAGUAACGAAUAAGAAGCCGCGAACAAGCAACGUUGUUCUGUUGCGCUUACUUAGUAGAGUGAGCUUUGUUAAGACCUAUGUUCAACGUAGCCCACAGAGCGGUUACUUCGGUAACUUACUCUAAUCCAUGGGAAGAUGGGGACAAAUCAAUAGGAAAAUGCUAUUUGCUUAUCUUAAUAAGAACAACUUCUAUAUGAAAUGAAAGAGUUGGAACGGGCGGGCGUCGGAUAUCAUGGAAAAACGAAAAAGAAAAGAAGCAUCUUCACUACUGGGGCGUUACUCCUUCUCUUUGAUGCUGUAGCUCGGUAGUAAGGGAUUGGUGGGAAGUCACGAAUAUAGUGUAUGUAGGUGCCGAUAUGCUCUUUUGUGAAAGGGUUGAGUUAGGUACCAAUUGAGGAUAUUCGUUGCAACCCAUAUGAAUUGGCCGACACCGAACCCUGCAUCUUCACUACUGGGUAAGAGGGUGUAUAACGGGUCUUUCAUAGACAAUCGUAGUUACUGCCUUUCAAGGGGGGCGGACUGGUAGCGAGUAAGAGCUGGAAAGGGUAAGAAAUGACAACGAUGCGCGGGAACGAAAUAAGCAGGUAUAUAAGGGUACCUAUGGCAAAGUCAAUCAUCUAAGGUUUCUAUUGGGGUGCCUCUCUCUUACAGCAGGAGCAUAGUUAAGCAUCCUAACCGGUUUGUUCAUAAGAGUUUGUGUUGGACGUGAAAACCUCGUAGACGGAAAUCAGAUAUACUACUUGAAGGGAUAUCCCCGGCGCAAACGAAAUAUCUGGCCGAUCAAUAGGAGUGGUACGAGUGUCUGAGGGGCCCUGCCCUUUCGAUUCACGGAAUGUGAGAAGAAGUUGACUGCUUUCUGUUCGUUCCUUUCCCCCUAGAAUCAAAACCUGUAAGGGAAGCUUUUAGGUCAGUAGUGGAUUCCCAUGCUCGAUGAAAAGUCUUAGUCCCCAGAGGGCUUGCUCAUUAUUCCGGUAGCUAACUCAAUCUGAUAGUUAGUAUUUCCAGCCUUCAUUUCGAGUUCCAUUAUUCUUAGUAUUCAUUUGAGUCUUGCUAUUAGGGGGUGGAUCUUGUUGGCAGUGGUUCUAUCCUUUAUUAGUGGAUCGAGUUAGAUGUCCCUAUUGUAGGUUUAAGUAAGAGAAGUACUUGUUUGAUUCUGCCAUUAGUGGUAUAUUUCCUAGUUAUAAGGUAAAGUAUGGGAAGCACUAGGCUUUCAGUACCUAGUAUCUAAUAGUUUAGAGAGUGAGAUAGAGCAAUGGGAGACUUGAAGCAAGGCGGGGCAGACCAAUGGACAUGGUAUUGAGAACGAAGUCGGGGCGGUAUUGAGAACGAAGGCAAGUGGACAAAGGCUAAGAUAUAGUUCCUGGCGAUAAUAAGUAUGAGUUUCCCCGCUCUAACUCCUGUAGUUGUUCCUUUCAUUCUAUGUUAUUGUUGAUGAUUAUUUUCAUUUGUAUUAAUUCUCCUUUUCACUUGUAUUGAUAUGUGUGUUGAAUAAGUCAUAGAAGAAUUGUAAUUAAUAGAAUAAUAGUAAUAUAAGAAAUAAUUGGUUCCAAAGCAACUAAGUAAGGGCUUCAACUUCACUUUCUCUUACUAGAAGCGACUAUCACUCAGAUUCUAUAUGUCCUUCUUUAAAACAAAUACGAGUAGUAAAGUACUUAUCGGACUGAAACCACCCACUAUAGUAUAGCAAUACAGAAUACAAGUCUUCUCCCCAGUAGAAUUAUAGGAAUAUGGGUAAUAUAAGUAGUAAAUAGAAUAAUAAGAAUAAAGAAGAUAACUCAUAGGGUACGAUGUAGUGCUGUAUAAUACUUUUUGUAGUCAGCAUCGGAAUGAAACGCGGGUGGGCUCUAAAGUAGGCAAGUUCGAAUGGAAACUGUAAGAAUGGAAUUAGUUGACUCGGUAUCAGCAGCAGAAUGAGAAUGCCCUGCUCCUGUUAAAGGGAGGAAGCC
rnacentral:lncRNA from 1 species